GGGUAAGGUCCGUGACCCCGGGAAACUCCAGCCAGAGAGCGGCGGCAAGAAAGGAAUUGGUUCCCACAAACCGCCCAGAGUCAAGGUGAUUCUGAUGAACGGACGAGCAUGGGGACCACUGAUCUCGACAACUCUGUUACCUCAUGACUUCAAGAAAAGCCAACUGCAGCUUCUCCUAGACUACCUGCUCUGCCCUCGGUGGGAGGUUCUCUGCUCUGCAGCUUCUCCAUCAACUUUGUCAGCUUUGAGCUUAAGCAAGGCCACUGCAUGAGAGUGAAAUCACAACCAUUGUUAUGAAAUGAGGACCAGAAGAAGCCUUGAGACAUAAUGUAGCGUCUCCUUCCCCACUGAG